AUUGAACGCUGGCGGCAUGCCUUACACAUGCAAGCCGAACGGCAGCACGGGAGCAAUCCUGGUGGCGAGUGGCGAACGGGUGAGUAAUACAUCGGAACGUGCCCUGUAGUGGGGGAUAACUAGUCGAAAGACUAGCUAAUACCGCAUACGACCUGAGGGUGAAAGUGGGGGACCGCAAGGCCUCAUGCUAUAGGAGCGGCCGAUGUCUGAUUAGCUAGUUGGUGGGGUAAAGGCCUACCAAGGCGACGAUCAGUAGCUGGUCUGAGAGGACGAUCAGCCACACUGGGACUGAGACACGGCCCAGACUCCUACGGGAGGCAGCAGUGGGGAAUUUUGGACAAUGGGGCAACCCUGAUCCAGCAAUGUCGCGUGUGUGAAGAAGGCCUUCGGGUUGUAAAGCACUUUUGUCCGGAAAGAAAUCGCUUCGGUUAAUACCUGGAGUGGAUGACGGUACCGGAAGAAUAAGGACCGGCUAACUACGUGCCAGCCGCCGCGGUAACAC
rnacentral:rRNA from 1 species